GGGGCUGGAGUGAUGGCUCAGAGGUUA
rnacentral:piRNA from 1 species